GUACAACCUAUCGUCAAAUGCCUUGGGUACGCGAAUCAACUGCGAGGCCUUAUACACCGGUGGAAGCAUGGCGUAGAGAACAUAACCAGCCAGCCGUUCUGCAGAUACAAAGACCACUAUCAAAGAUAUCACACACUAAUCCAGCCAACAUGAACUCCCAAACCAACAACAGCGCAGUGCCUCCUCUACCACCGAGAUAUCGGUUAAGAGAUCUUAUAUUAGGUGACUUUGCUUACGGAGACGACGGACAGAGGAUUAUUUUAUGAAUAUUUUUUGUUUGGCUGUUUCAAUUUAGAAGUGGCUUUUCUGCAUCCAGAAAGUACAACCUAUCGUCAAAUGCCUUGGGUACGCGAAUCAACUGCGAGGCCUUAUACACCGGUGGAAGCAUGGCGUAGAGAACAUAACCAGCCAGCCGUUCUGCAGAUACAAAGACCACUAUCAAAGAUAUCACACACUAAUCCAGCCAACAUGAACUCCCAAACCAACAACAGCGCAGUGCCUCCUCUACCACCGAGAUAUCGGUUAAGAGAUCUUAUAUUAGGUGACUUUGCUUACGGAGACGACGGACAGA
rnacentral:lncRNA from 1 species